ACCACAUCUGUGGAUUAAGCCACACAGUCAACUCAAUGCCUAAGACUGUUUGCAAGGACUGCUGCGCACGCCGGAUGUAGGCAGGCAAACUGCAAGCAAUCAGUGAGAUGAUCCAUCAAUCAUCAUCAGACUGCAAGCCGUAUAGCCUCUACACAAAGGACCAGAUGGCUGUGUGACAUGUUUUCAGUUCUGUGCAAGGAACCACCAUCACACCAUGGUAAGUGAUAACUUACUUGUCCUCCAUUUACUAGUGUCACAAUGUAGCCAACGUGCAGCCUAUAUUAUUAUAAGUUAUAGUGAUAUUUUGUAAGCAUUUAUUUACCAAUGAGAAUAGCCUAAUGUUAUCCCUUUGCAUCUCUCCACAGGAAUACACAAAGGCUAGGGUUAAGUGAUGCUUUUGUAUCAAAUGUGUUGGCUAUAUGCAGGUCAUGUGACGCCUCUUCCGAGACACAGGCUCAGUUACUUUGCCAUUAUUAGUUAAAUCACAGUCAGUUUUCAAGGGUCAGCCCAUUACCAUGCAUACACCACUCAUGCAUUUGCUCAUUCCAAUCUAUUAAUGCACUGAACAUUCAUCUCUCACGAUUUCAUAGAGAGCAGGAGGUUGCAUAUCAGGAGCGUGAAGGAGUGAAUCUUGUAUUUACAUGUCACCUGUACUAUAGUAUUAUUUAAUAUAUGCAUAGGAUUAAUAUUCUGCUGAUUUGUCUUCCCAUUACGCCACAAUCCCUCUGUCUUUCUAGGAAGAUGUCAAUGUCAACAGCAGAAGGAAAAUUACUCUGCAGGAUAUUUUAAGACCUGGAAUGUUUGGAUGUGGAAAGUUUUUGAUUAAAUUGUGUGUCCUCUUUCACUCUAUCUUCUUUUUUUACUUUGUCUUCCCUAUAUCUAUUUCUAUUCAGCCCUCUCUGAUACUACCUUGCAACCAAAAGACAACAACCACAACCAUCUUCCUAGCCACCAGAAUAGCAGUUAAAUCACACUACAGUAAUUCACCAAGAAUGUCAUAUUUGGGAAUUAUACCUGAACUUUUCAUUCACUGGCAGAAGAAAUUGACCUGCCAGACUUCUCGGAUGCAGCUGUAGCUAUUCCCACUGUCUCGGGUGAUACAGACUCCCUUGUGAAGUUUGGUCCUGCUAUCCAUUCUAUAGUUCUUGACGAAGAUAUUGUUGUGUGUGAUAUAGCAGAGUUGACAGACACGUUAAUUUUGCUAUUUGGUUUAAUUUAUGCACUUCAUCUCGAUUAUCCAAAUCAAUUGUCCUACACAUUUAAUUUCAUUAAAAAAAUUAUUAUGGGUUUGGAAGACCUGAAGCGGUUACCUCCUAGACUGCUGCUUAGCCUUAAAAAUAAAUUGCUGAUGAUGGAUGAGUAAGCAGUCUGUUCUCCAAAUCUCAUGGUUGGUACUGCCAGCAUGUUAAUACUCAAGCAAGCAAUGGAGCUUUUCGCUUUUAUUUAUGUUGUCCUAUUAUUUUGUUAUUUGAGUAUUACCUUUGUUGAAGUGGUAACAGGUUGUUAUUUCUUUGAUUUUCUGUAUUAACCGCAUUGCUGGGGAUGUUGUUCUGUUAGAAUUCUAAUGGAAUUCUUAAAUA